rnacentral:rRNA from 1 species
UAACGACUCUCGGCAACGGAUAUCUCGGCUCUCGCAUCGAUGAAGAACGUAGCGAAAUGCNAUACUUGGUGUGAAUUGCAGAAUCCCGUGAACCAUCGAGUUUUUGAACGCACGUUGCGCCCAAAGCCAUUAGGCCGAGGGCACGUCUUCCUGGGCGUCACGUA